rnacentral:rRNA from 1 species
UACGUAGGGUGCGAGCGUUGCCCGGAUUUAUUGGGCGUAAAGGGCGCGUAGGCGGCUCGGCACGUCCGUUGUGAAAUCGCCCGGCUCAACUGGGCGGGGUCAGCGGAUACGGUCGAGCUUGAGCAAGCUAGGGGGCAAUGGAAUUCCCGGUGUAGUGGUGGAAUGCGUAGAUAUCGGGAGGAACACCGGUGGCGAAGGCGGGUCUCUGGGCCGGUACCGACGCUGAGGAGCGAAAGCGUGGGGAGCGAACAGG